UUAACAUUAGUUAAUAAACUAUGAAUGUACAUGAAAUAACAAUGAACUAUUUUUUUUUAUUAAAUAACAUUAUAAAUAACAGAUUAAUACAUGCUGUAAAUUAAGAUUCAACUUUAAUGUCAUUGUGCAGAACCAAUGAAAUGCAGUUGUUUUCACAUAUCCCAACUAAGCUGGGGUCAUAGCACAGGGUCAGCCAUGAAACAGCACCCCUGGAGCAGAUAGGGGCAACGGCCUUGCUCAAGGGCCCAACAGUGGUAUUGUGGCAGUUCUGGGGCUUGAACCUCCAACCUUAUCGUGCCAUCUGUACAGAAUGUUUCAGUGGUGGCACGCUUAGAGUCUGAAUUGACUCUGGAAUGGUACAAUGACAACAGUACCUACAGCUUUAUCCUGACAGUCAGUAAUGGACUACAGCAUCAGAUUUCAAAUCCAGGUGGAGUGAUGACACACACAGUCUCAUCACUCUCUCUGAGUUGAGACCAGUAAGUCUUGAGAUAUGUAUCAAUAUUCAUAAAUUAAUAUAUAGAGUAUGUGUUCACUUUUCUAUUUCAAAAUCGCAUAAAGGAUAUUCUUUGAUUUAGCUUCUUUGAGUUUAUUGGAUUUAGUAUGACGUUAAUUGAGAAAUGAAAACGUUUUAUGGCAUUAUUUUGAAGAAUGCACAUUUUUUACAAGUGUCUAAAAACGUUGCACAGUACUGUCAUGAAUGAUUAAUGAGGCAGACGAGGAGAUUCGGAUCCAAACGCAGUUUUGAAUUUUAUUGAACAACAAAACACAAAAUGAACAACCCACGAUGGGGAAAAGAAACAUAAACUGAGUAAGCUGACCAAGGUAGACACGAACAUGGCACUAGGGAGAGACGCACACGCCAGGACAACAUCAAAACAACGAUCAACGAAGACUGAACAAAGACACAGGGUAUAAAUACACAAACAUGGGAAAAGGGGCCAAUGAAAGAACAGAACUCAAACAAGAUAACAAGGUGAUUAACAGAAACCAAAGGCAAAUUAACAAGAGCAGGUGAAAACAAUGAACAGUGAACACAAGACUAUGGAGGUACAAGCGUGACAAAAGUGAAAACUAAGGAAUACCAAAAGUGACAAAAUCACAAACAAAGGGCAACAGUGAGACAAGACAGGCUCCAUCCAUUGUCACUGGUCUUCGUUGUGUGAAUUCAUGGUCGGGCAGGGCUCUGGGUGUGGUUUGGGAUUCUUCAUAUGGUAUGCAAUUUGAAUAUGAGGUGCAGGUAAAUGGAGAAAUUCAGAAAUACAUAAAUAAAUCAAGGCUUCAGCUUGAUUAUCUGCCAUCAAUUGAGCAGUAUGACAUCACUAUUACAUCACUCUUUGGAGACAUGAGAAGUAACCCAGUCUCAACCAGGUGUACAGCCAACCUCAUCGGUAAGACUGAAUCAAUAGAGUUCCAUCAAUUAUCACUGUUUUACAAAAUUGAGGUCCAACCACACAAUCUUAAAAUGAUUAUUUAUUAAAAAAGCACAGUUUUAUUCACCUGCAUCAAUGCACUGACUGCCUGGACCAUGAUAGUUACAGUUACUGUAGGUGACACCAUGUUACAUGUUGGGGAACUACUUUUGAGAUUAUGGAGUGGUGAUGGCAUAGUGGUCUAAGCACAUAACUGGUAAUCUGGUAAUCAGAAGGAUGCUGGUUCGAGCCCCACAGCCAACACCAUUGUGUUCUUGAGCAAGGCACUUAACUCCAGGUUGCUCCGGGGGGAUUGUCCCUGUAAUAAGUGCACUGUAAGUCACUUUGGAUAAAAGCGUCUGCCAAAUGCAUAAAUGUAAUGUAAAUGUAAUGUAAAUGUAUUUUAAAGUAUAAGUAGCUACACAACAACAUGUUGUACUGAUUAAAUAACACUUAAAAUUAAAAGACUUAAUUAGAAAUACAUUUCUAUGACAGGGACAUUAUCGUUAAAGUGACUUGACAAUAAUAAAAUAUCACAUUGCAAUUAUGGCACUACAAGCAACUUACACAAGAAAUACCAGUGAUGUGCUAAGGUUUGGCAUCAGAAUCAAAAAUAAUCAAAUGUCACAGCAAUUGCAAUACUAUUAAUGCUAAAAAUUAUUUACAAUACUGUCAGCUAUCGAUGGGUUAAUAAAAAUAUGUAUAUAUAUAUUUUUUUUUUUCCCCUAGGUUUCAUUACAGAAUCUGUGUUGGCCAUUGUUUGUGUAAUGCUUCUAUCUGUGUGUAUUGGAGUUGUGUGGAAGUGCAGAAUAUCUUGUCACAGGAGAAAACUGGGGAAUGCUGAUAACCAGGAAAUGGACCAGGCUUAUGUAAACACUUCUGCUCUCAAGAUGCAAGAAAAUCUGAAUUUGGAAUGUCUUGAAUCACAGUUUAAAGAUGUAAAAUGUGAGGAAAACAAUACUUAUGAGGUCCCAGAUAUGACAACACGUGUUAACAUUUAGUUCUCAGUUAGUCCCUAUUGAGUCCGCAAUUAAGCAAAAAUAUACAUAAUGUUUCGACUGUAAUUUCUUCGAUUAAUGGGUAGUAAUUGCAGUACAUUCACUAAUGACUCACUUGAAUGUUUUACAUUUACAAAUGAAUGUUUUAAUUUCACUAAUCAUGUGGAAAAAAAAACAUUUCAUUUUUGUAUGUGCUAUUCAUGUUUUUCUAUGUAACCAGCUAAUUUAAGAUGACAGUGUGUUGUUCCCAUCCCCACCAGAAAAUAUUAAUUUCCUUUUUAUGUAAAAUGCUCUUUAUAACAAUAAUAUAAUACUUUUAUGGUUUAAAGCAAACAGGGAUUAUUACUUAUAAUUUUGUACUUAUUUAUUUAUUAAGUAGGGGCCUACUCCCUAAUAUUUUAAGUAGAGUUAACUUUUCAAAAUAUAAUGAAUUUUGCAUGUUCAUUGAAAUAUUUCUGUUAUAUAUUCUUAUAAUAAUUUACUUUACAUUACAUGUUUUUAUUAAUCUCUGUUCGUAUCACAUCAUUUAAAACUAUGCUAAUUUUUGACACUGAACAAUGUGUUCAUUAAGCAUAAAAAUACAGCAACAAUGAAACAAUGUGAAACACACAGUACUAAAAAUUCCUCUUUGGUUUCUUAGAAUAAUUUUUCAACGAUAGAGAUUUUUCUGCAAUGUCAAAUAUGUUUUUUGUAUCUUUGUUCAACUGCUUUUGUAAAUGGGUCCAAAACUGUACU